CACCAUAAACAACUUUUCUCCAUUUUGAAUGGGUUGGAGAAGAGCUCCCACUGAUGUUAGCCUCCAUCUGUAUCAUACAACUCUACUCUACAGCAUCUGCGAACAAUUAUUAAAUGACAGUCAGCAAUUUUAUUUUACUUUUUUAUGAAGGUGUUUCAUCAACAGGCAUCAAGAAGAUGCAUUACAAGAAGCAUAAUUACAAGCAAAAAGAUUUCUUCUCAAAAAAAAAAAGAAGUAAAAAGACUAAAGAGCAAUGUUAGCCCUAAUACAGUGUGUCAGUCUAGCACAAAGCAACUAACAAAGUCCAAAAAUAAAUGACAGUCAGCACUCAGGGAUCCUAAAUCAUAAUCACUCUCUUAUAGUUUACACAACAAGUUAGAGAUGAAAAAAGGGAAAACACAACAAAUCAUGCAUCUAGCUUAGGAUCUGGAGCCACGUGAUAUUUAAAUCAACGUUCACCACUCUCCAUUCACAUUAGUUAUCACAAACACACUAAUUCCACUAACUCCACACCACUGUAUAUUGAGUAAUUUUCAAGCUAGGUAAACACAUUGCAGACACAAAAAUUCACAUUGCAUAUACGAAAUAAAAAAAAAAGAAACCGAGCUACAAAAUUUUGCAAUAUCAAGCCUUUUCAAGUCUGAUAUAUUAAUACAUUUAACACCAUCCAAUUUCGUUUUACAUCACUAACUCCUCUUAAUUGAUAAACUGUACUCUUGAUAUCUUCGGCUUUUGGAGCAGAGUAAAGCCUUUAAGUUUCUCUCAAAGUGUAUGUAGUGUUAGCGAAAGCACUCGCUUCCUCGCUUUAAACGAGAAGCCAUGCAAAGCGCCACAGUUCCCGCUUCCCCCAUGUGAAGCGACACAGGUAUAACAAAGUGACCGCUUCCUAAAAAGCGAGAAGUGUCCAAGCAUAGUGAUGCGAAAGAAGCGACCAGCUUCUUUGUAUUAAAGAGAAGCCAGGUCCUAUUUUAUUAAAAACGAGUUUCCGUGUAAUUAGUGCUUUUAGCAGAUCAUCUUCAACAGCGACUAGAGGCGACUAGGGUUCUUCUUCUUUCACUGAUUCAAAAUCCCGAAAUGCUGGCGAAUUUUUUUUACCUUCAGUUCUUUCUAAGAAUUGAUGCCAAUCCUUGGGUUCUUCUUUCUCUGUCCAGUUUAUAACAGAGAAUUGCUGCCCUUCCUCUGAUUUUUAUAUUUUUUUGUUCUUAGUUCUUAUUGUCUUUCUUAUGUGUUAUGUAGUUGUCUACGCAGUAUUUAUUUUAAUUUUUUUUAAUUUCGCUUCAUUUCAAAAAAGCGAGCGCUUCGCUUCUCGCUUUAAGCGAAAUGGGGAUUGUAAUUUUUUCUCGCUUCACACUCUUCACAACACUGAGUGUAUGAUAUAACCUCCUUAUACUCAAAUGAUAUUUUUUUAUAUCAAUUCUGAAGUAUCAAAUGGAGGGAAAAAAAGGUACCAAAUGGACUUAAAAGUUACACAUAUUGCCCUUUAACCUCAAAAGAAUCCCAUCCUAGCCCCACACUUGAUGAGCACCUCUAGCCAACCCCAAGAUAUUGCUGGAUUAUUUUUCACUAUAUUUUAGAAAUAUCCAGCGGUGUUGUCACUGACAACCAGAAGAAGUAAAUUGCACCCAUAUCUUAUACUAUUCUGAUUGCACCAUCAAUCAUUACUAUUGGCAAGGAAACCACAAGCAGAAAAGAAAAGAGCAGUAUAAGCUCAGAUAACUACUACAAAAUGAUGAACUCGGAAGAUAGAGCUGGCAGUUUAAUUUUUUCAACGUCUACCUUGAAUGUGUAUAGGAAUGAUAUGGACCUCAGUGGAGUGGAUUGAUAAAGAUAAUUCAUAUAGUAGACUUAACAUAUCUAAGCAUUAAACAUAGCCGAACAAGUUGUAUCUUGAAUGACUGAUAGCAUCAUUAACCAAAAAAAAGUAGAAGAGGUUUUAACCAUAAGUACACAGCAACAAGGGGUUUAGCUAUGGAAGCAUAAUUGGAGGUUGAAGGUUCCCUUAAACUAAUUGAGUUUUGGUCAGACAGGCUGUUCCGACAUGAGAGCUUAAUGAAGAGGGGAAUAUAAUGCCCCUGUGCUCCAAAUGUUUUCUGUGUGGAAAGGCCAUCGAAACAAACAGUCAUCUGUUUCUCCAUUGUCAGGUGACCAAUAGAUUGUGGAAACUAUUCAUGAGUAUGAAAAGCUUAAGCUGGGUAAUGCCUAGUGAGACUAUGGACUUGCUUUCUAAUUGGGACAAUUUAGCUGAACAAUAAAAGAGAAAGCCGACCUUUCCAUUAAGUAGCAAUCACAACAAAGUGUUAUAAUAACAGUGAAUGAAACUCUCUCUUACAGCCACCAUAACAAUACUAUUUAUAGUUGGCGAAUUACUGAGGCUCUAAGUUUAACAAGAUAAAACAUCCGAAAAUUAAGGUCGCAGAGGCAAUUUAAUAACAACAACAACAACAACAACAAUAAUAAUAGCAAACACACAAACAAAAAGAAUCUGAAUCAGUAAAUAAUAAAGUGCAAGUAAAAUCAGAGUAAGACUUCAUGUUAGAAAGAGAAAAUUUUGAGAAGAAGAGUACAAGAUCGAGAUUUUGGGAAAUCAAAUUUAAUACACGGGAGAGGACGAAUCUGUGUGAAAUAUAUUAAAAAUAAUAACAGAGAAAUUUCAUAAUUUUUACCUACUUUGUGAAAUCGUGAACUUGGACGGAUUCUCCAAAGAAAAAUCUAUCCCGAUCUUCGCAAUUUUUCUUCAAAAUCUGUUUUUGAGAGUGGAAACAGGGAAGGAAACAUUCUGAUUUGUGAUUAGGAGAAGAUUAGAAAAUUUGAUAUAUACGGAUAGAAGAAUUAAGGAAAGAGAAUAAAAUAGGGAGGCCUAAGAAGUAUUGAGGAGGGAUGAUUAGGCAGGACAUGACUAGAAUGCAGGUUUCCGAGGACAUGACCCUUGAUAGGAAAGUNNNNNNNNNNNNNNNNNNNNNNNNNNNNNNNNNNNNNNNNNNNNNNNNNNNNNNNNNNNNNNNNNNNNNNNNNNNNNNNNNNNNNNNNNNNNNNNNNNNNNNNNNNNNNNNNNNNNNNNNNNNNNNNNNNNNNNNNNNNNNNNNNNNNNNNNNNNNNNNNNNNNNNNNNNNNNNNNNNNNNNNNNNNNNNNNNNNNNNNNNNNNNNNNNNNNNNNNNNNNNNNNNNNNNNNNNNNNNAUAAUUAUUUACGCUAUUUACGCUAUUUCUGCUGGAGUUACUAAUGCUUUAUUGUUUUUGUUUUUGUCUUUGUUUUUGUUUUACUGCUGUUUUUCCUAUUAUCCUAUGAGCCGGGGGUCGAUUGGAAACAGCCUCUAUGCCCUUUCGGGUAGGGGUAAGGCUUGUCUAUAUAUUACCCUCCCCAGUCCCCACCUGGUGGGAGUAUACUGGGUAGUUGUUGUUGUUGUUGUUGUUUAUCUAUCUUUCGGGUAGGGGUAAGGCUUGUCUAUAUAUUACCCUCCCCAGUCCCCACCUGGUGGGAGUAUACUGGGUAGUUGUUGUUGUUGUUGUUGUAAUAAAAUAGAAAAUGAAAGGAAAGAAGUAUUAAAUAGGAAAUUUGGUCGAGCAUUGAAAGAGGAAAAAGUGUAUUCACUGGUGGCAGGAAAGGAUUUGACGACGAGGAAGAUGGGUAAAUUUGGGUGAUUUUGGUUAAAUUUGAUUUAUUGGGAAUUUUGGGCCAAUCUAAUAAUAGGAAUUAGCAAUAGGGGCAUUUGCAUAUAUACCUAUUUUUUGGGGCACCGUCUAAUUUAUAAUGGCAUUGCACAAACUUUAUAAAGUAUAUCCAUUUUAAUCUAAAUAUAACAACUCGAACAGUCGUUUUGAGCUUUAGCACGUUCUUUGGCGAUUUGAGGUUAUGAGUAGUUUUGCUUCAGGUAUUAUGACUUAUAUGUAAGGUCGGAAUCGAAAUUUAAGAAGUUCAGAUUUGGAUUUGGAAAGAAAAUUCUCAUUUCAAAAGCUAGAAUCGAAAUUUAAGAAGUUCGGAUUUGGAUUUGGAAAGAAAAUUAUCAUUUCAAAAGCUUUAAGUUGGAAGAAUUGAAUAGGAUUGGAUUUUUUGAGUAAACGGCCUCAUAAUCAAGAUUUGAAGGUUCCAGCACGUUCGUAUGAUGAUUUCAGACUUGGGCGUAUGCCUGGAUCAGGAUUUGGAUGACCGGGAACGUUUUGGCGCCUGUUGUGAAAGUUAGCAUUUUGGAAGAAUUUCAGAAAUUUGGGUUGAAGUGCAUUUCAAUGCUAUCAAUAUCCGUUUAGGAUUCCGAGUCUCGAAAUAGCUCCGUAUAAUGACUCUGGUAUUGGGAGCGCGAUCGGAAGUGGAUUUUGAGGUUCGAAUGUCAUGUUGGAGUGAUUUGGCGAAAGUUAGAAAUUUGGAGGUUUUUGAGAAGUUUGACCGGAACUGGACUUUUUUAUAUUGCGAUCGUAUUCCGAUGUUGUAAGUUGGAGUAGGUCCAUAAUGUCUAAUAUGAAUUGUGUGCAAAAUUUGAGGUCAAUCGAAGGUGAUUUGAUAGGUUUUGGCAUCGAAUAAAGAAGUUCGAAGUUCUAAAGUUUAUCAAGUUUGAAAUGGAGUAUGAUUUGUGAUUUUAGCGUUGUUUGAUGUGAUUUGAGGCCUCGAGUGGAUUCGGGAUAGUUAACGGAUCAAUUUUGGAAUUUGAAGGAGUAAAAUAGUUGCCUUUUGGUGUAACCGCACUUGCGAGACUUGGGCGAUGGAUUCUGGAUGGUUAACGGAUCAAUUUUGGAAUUUGAAGGAGUAAAAUAGCUGCCUUCUGGUGUAACCGCACUUGCGAGACUUGGGCCGCAGGUUCGGAGACGCAGAAGCGGCGAUGAGGAACGCAGAUGCGGUGUUGGUCCAGAACUCAAGAGACCGCAGAUGCGGUCAUAUAGCCGCAGAAGCAGGAUCACACCUGCGGUAGGUGAGGCGCAGAAGCGGAAAGGGCAGCCUGGUGAGAAACCAGGAGCGGUAAUGGGGCCGCACCUGCGGAACCGCAGAAGCGGUCAAGUGACUGCAUGUGCGUAAAUGCUAGAGGCACUAAGGUUCUUUAAAUCGAGGGUUUGGCCCAUUUUCUUCUAUUCACUCUUGUUUGGACGAUUUUUGGAGAGCUUCAAGUGGGGAUUUUCAUCGCCAAUGACAAGGUAAGCUAUCAUCACCAAUCUUGAGUUAAAUACAUUGAUUAUAUAUAGAUUUUAGCAUGAAGAUUGGUAGAAAUUUGGAAGUUUGAGGAAAACCUAGAAAAUUUGUGUUCUUGGAUUUUAACCACGAUUUUGGACAUGAAAUUGAGAUCCAAUUAUAUGUUUGAGUUCGUGAGGUUAUGGGUAAACUUCAUCUUUGAAAAAUUUCGAAAUCUGGGCACAUGGGUCCGAGGGUAUUUUUACCGACUUUUUGACUAGGGUUUGAAAUUGUUGUAAAUUAAAUUAUAAUGAGUAUUCUAGCGUAUAUUAAUGGAUUUGCAUAAUUAUUGGCUAGUUUUGGAGUUUUGUGCAUCGGUUUGAGUCUUCGAAAGGGCGUGGAAUGUCGGUAAUAGAACUUCGAAGUGAGGUGAGUAUCCUUUCUAACCUUGUAAGAGGAAAUUGUCCAAAUAGGUGAAAUUAGUUAUGUGCUUCUAGUUGUGGGAGUUACGUAUGCAUGAGGUGACGAGAGUCCGUGCGUAGCCAUUGUUAUACAUAUGUCCGGGUAGUCCUAGGUUACACCAUGCUUUAUUAAUAUUGUUGUUGCUCGAUGUUAUUGUUUGCCUUGAGAAGAAAUAAGAUUGAGGUCCUUCGGAUUUGAAACAAUGUGGGCUAUCCACCCCUCUUUCCCAGCAUCAUCAAUAGAGCCUUCUCUGGCCAAUUCACUCUCCUCCAAUCCACUGAAAGUUUCAAGACUCUGGUAACCAAAUUGAACCGGGAAGUAUUUGGAAACAUUUUCCAUCAAAAUAAGAGAUUCAUGGCCAGAAUCUAUGGUAUUCAAAAGUCUCUUAGCUACCAAUUCAGUAGCUACCUGCUAAGUCUUGAAACAGAUCUAAAUGCUAAGCUGAGCCACAUCCUCAAAAGUGAGGAAGACUUUUGGAAACUAAGGAUCAAUUGGCUAAAUGAGGGUGAUGCUAUCACCAGAUUUUUCACACUCCAACCCUUAAUAGAAGAAGGAUAAACGGAAUCCUAUCCCUCAAAGAGGAGAAUCGUAAUUGGCUUCAUGACCAAAGGGAUAUCCAGUCAGCCAUUGUAAGUUUCUUUACUGAGCUAUACACAACUUCUCAUACUGAAGACCCUUGGGCAACCACUAAUCACUCCACCAUGGAACCCAUCUUGUCCCAAAGUCAAAGGGCUUUUAUGGAUAGACCCCUUCAAGUGAGUGAGAUAAAAAGGGUUGCCCAAAUGGCCUCUACCCUUUCUUCUAUCAAAAAUACUAGGAUAUUGUAGGGGACUGUCACAGAAUUUUGCCAAAAAUGCUUCUCCACAAGCUCCAUGGAUAACACUAUAAACCAAACUCUUCUAUGCCUAAUACCUAAAUGCCCUCAAGCUUCAAUGCUGAAAACUUCAGACCCAUUGGCCUCUGCAACACCAUCUACAAAUGAGUCAUAAAAAUCAUUGUGAACAUGAUAAAAUCUAUCCUAUGACACAUCAUUGGACCAAGCCAAGCAAGCUUCCUAACUAACAGAAGGGCCUUUGACAAUGCCAUUAUUGUUCAAGAAUAUAUCAACCACUUCAGGAAAAUAAAUGGUAAGAGUGGCAACAUGAUUCUAAAAAUAGACCUAGAGAAGGCCGUUGAUACUGAUGCCUUCAACUUCCCCAAGGAUUUAUCCAAGCUCAUCAUGUCAUGCAUAAGUACUUCCUCCAUCUCUAUCCUUGUCAAUAUGGGCAAAACCGAAUCUUUCAACACCUACUAUAACUUCCCCAAGGAUUUAUCCAAGCUCAUCAUGUCAUGCAUAAGUACUUCCUCCAUCUCCAUCCUUGUCAAUGAGGGCAAAACCGAAUCUUUCAACCCCUUAAGAGGCAUUAGUACGGAGACCCGAUGUCUCCUAUCUAUUCAUUAUGUGCAUGAAAAGACUUCAUAGAUCCAUUGACAAGGCAGUUCUGCAAAAUCAAUGACACCCCAUAAGCAUAAGUAGGUAUGGACCAAAAAUCUCACACCUUUUCUUUGCAUAGAUCCAUUGACAAGGCAGUUCUGCAAAAUCAAUGACACACCAUAAGCAUAAGUAGGUCUGGACCAAAAAUCUCACACCUUUUCUUUGCAGAUGACCUCAGUCUCUUUGUCAAAGGAAAUAUCAGGAACUGCAAUACCAUUCUCUCUAUAUUGAAUAACUUCAAUAAUCAAUCAGGGCAAAAUAAUAAAUCUCACCAAAUCUAGAGUCUUGUUUUCCUCCAACAUUACCCAAGAUACCUCCCGACAUCUCACCAAUCUUUCGUCCAUCAAACACAUAACAUCCUUUGGAAAAUACCUAGGAUUUCCCAUUUUCCACAAAAAGCAAGCAACUUCAGACUUCCAAUUCAUCAUUGACAACAUGCGAACCAAACUGGCUGGAAAACCAAACGCCUUAACAUAGCUGGGAGAAUAGUCAUGGCCAAGACCACCCUGAGCACCAUCCCAAGGCAUGUAAUGCAAUACAUCAACCUUCCUACCAAAGUCACCAACCAGAUUGAUAGAAUCUAGAGAAACUUCCUUUGGGGCACCACUCUUGAAAUGAAAAAGCUUCAUCUGAUUAAGUGGGAUGUAGUCACAAAGACCAAGGCCGAGGGAGGGCUAGGGCUUCAAAAAUCUAGUAAUAAAAACAAAGUUGCUCUCUCAAAUCUGACAUAGAGAGCUUACAAGAACAUCAAUAGACUUUGGCUAAGAGUCCUGAUUCACAAGCACUGCAACAUGACGAGACCAACCCAUGCAUUGAGGCAUCCAAAGAACCUUAAAUCCCCAACAUAGAAGGGCACACUAAAGGGUUGCGAGAUUGCUAGCAAAGCCAGCAGAUAGGUAGUUAAUAUAGGGAAUAGGGUUAAUUUCUUAAAUGACACUUGGAUCCCUAACCAGCCAGCAAUCAGGCAAAUGAUAGAAGGCUCCUUAACCCAAAAUGACCUCCAAGUCAGGGUUGAAUCAGUUCACAAUAUGGGCAUUUGGGAUACCUCAAACUUGUCCAUUACCAUCCCCCCAAGUAUCCUGAACCUCCUCAAUUCUGUGUUCAUUCCCAGUUCCACAACUAAGGAGGACAACCUUAUCUGGGACUUGAUUUCCAAUGGCUAAUUCUCCAAUAGCUUCUGCUUACUCCUUCAUAAGGAGGAAUAUAAUAGACCACCCUCCUGGGGUAGAAGCACCCUUCAAAUGGAUAUGGAAGCUUCAAACCCCCAACAAAAUUAAGCAAUUUCUCUGGCUCCUAACCUAUAGAAGACUCCCAACUAGGAGCUUUCUCCACUCUAUUGGAAUCAACUAUCCCCCUCAAUGCUACUAUUGUAACAAUGAUCAAGAAGACAUUGACUACAUUUUCUUCCAAUGUCCCAAUGUUGUCCACUUCUAGAACAAUUUCUUAUCAAAAUCCUCAGGUUCUACCUCGUCCCAACCAGUCUUCAAUAGCCACCUGUGGCAAUCAUAAUACUAUUUCAAAGGCAACAAAGUACCAUAUGCAUUUUCUUCCAAUUUCCCAGUGCUGCCCAUUUUUGGAAUGAUAUCUUAUCAAAAUCCCCAGGUUCUACCUCGUCCCAACCAGUCUUCAAUAGCCAUUUGUGGCAAUCAUCUUGGCAAACUCUCAAAGCUAUAAAGUACAGCAGUUGCCUCUGUUAGGACAACCUCAUUCCCUUCUGCCUUUGGUAUAUUUGAUUGAGAAGAAACAAUAAUAUUUUCAAUAACAAAAAAAGAACACAUUAAUGCCAACAACACUAAAUCAAAAUCAAUAAAGUACCAUGUGCUUACGAAUAACAACUCAACAAUGGUAACACAUCAGAUUAUGCUAAAAUGGGUACCCCACCCAGAGGCUCCUUUAAACUGAACACUAAUGGAGCAACAAAGGGAAAACCAGGAACAGGGGGAUUAGAGGGAAUAUUCAAAAACCACACUGGAGAUUGCAUAUUGGGCUACACGAACAACAUACCUCAAAUAACAAACACAAAGACAGAAAUUCAGGCCCUUAUCUAGGGUCUACAACUAGCAUAACUAAACAACCUAGUUCCGCUAGAAAUAGACACUCAUUCAGCAGAAACAAUAAAUAUGCUAAUAAAUGGAUGUCUGAUUUUUGACCCUCUAAUUUGUGAAUGCAGAUCAAUCAUCCAAAGGAUGGGCAGCAUGGUGGUGAGGCAUAUCUACCGGGAGUAGAACAGAGUAACUGAUGCGCUGGCAAAGGAAGCAGCAAAAGAAAGUUUUUUGAACAAGUCUUUGUCCGUAGCAGUUCCUCCGAUGCUUGUCAAUGAUGUAUGUUGGGCAGACAUCCUAGGACUAAUAUAAUAUCCCUUUUGACCCAAUUGUACCCNNNNNNNNNNNNNNNNNNNNNNNNNNNNNNNNNNNNNNNNNNNNNNNNNNNNNNNNNNNNNNNNNNNNNNNNNNNNNNNNNNNNNNNNNNNNNNNNNNNNNNNNNNNNNNNNNNNNNNNNNNNNNNNNNNNNUUAACUAAGUACUAAUAUAAUAUCCCUUUUGAUCAUAAAAAAUAAUUAUACAAAAAACAAAAACAACAUUGAAAUUAAAAAAAUAAAAAUAAGGACGCAUUAGGUAAAAGAGAACACAUAAUUGCCAUUAACUAUUCUUUAGGAAGGUACGAGACAAAAUCGUUUAUAAAUUGUGAAAACUACAACUAAAGCCUCGUGCGUACAAUCAAAAACAAUAUCUUUCAUGAAAUCUUUCAAAAUUUAUUUGAACACAUGUUCACAUAAAACUACAACUGGUCCUGAUCUCAUCUACUUCGACAUAUUUUAUGCAAUAGUAUACAGAAGCUAGAUAUCGAGGCCCACUUCCAAAAUUAAUACUUGUUUUAUGCAAAUCAAAUAAAUAAGACAAAUACCUAGGGAAUCUAUUCAUAUCAAUGUCUAUAUCUAUAUCCUUUGAUUUCCACCAUCAAAUCACGGAGUAACAUCAAUGGACAUGAACAAGAACUAUUUCUAUUCCAAAUGAGAAGAAAGAGAAUAGCUCUGUAAAUUAUGUAUGUGCCGUUUGUAUGGAAUAGAAUGGAUCUCUAUGUUUGUGUAUACAAAAGAUGUGUAUAAAAAAGUGAGUGAAACAAGAUGUAGGUGAUGAUUUGUAAUGGGUGCUUCAUUUUAUAACCAGUACUUGGAAGCCAUUCUUCUCUUUAUCAUUGCAGAAAAGUAGGAAAAAAAAGGUUUUUACUGAGAAGAAGCAAGACAUUAUCAUUAAGAAGAUACUAUUCUUUAAGAUUCUCAAUUACUAUACAUAAUGUGCAAAGCAAGUUUAAUGAAAACUACUCGUUGUUGUAUACGGUGAAAUCGGAGGGUCCAAUUCCUCGUCAUUGAGGCACCUCAAAAGAUCAUCUCGAAGCCGCGCUACAAGGCUAUGGUCGAGUUUCCUCCCUCGAGGUUCGUCGACGCCCGACCUUGGGACAAUGAUGACCAUGGAUAUGGUAGAAAUGGGGAGUUCCCAAGAUACACGGCUAGGACUGACAGAGCGUAGUGGACUACCCUAACCAUGAAUCACGGUGUCAUCUAUCUAUCCCAUCUUCGCUUCUUUGUUAUUAAUGUUUUUUGUACUAUGUUGGGAUUCCCCUCCUAUAUAAAUGGGAUCCUUAUCAUUUUGUAAACCCCUGUUGCUUCAGUUGCUCCACAUGAAAUACACAAGAACACUCUCUCUGCUCUCUAACACAUUGUGUUGAUAUAUUCCAUUAAUUAUCUUCAUCAUUGUUCAUCACUUAUUGCUUAUCAUUGGUCAUAAAGAGUCUUCCUUGAUUUUACUAUAACUGCUAGCCAUACUUCGACCACCUUCGAUAGCUCCCAGUCGAGUUCCAAAAUCGACCUUGAGGCCCCCAAAUCGACAAGCUCGAGGCCCCGAUUGAUAACCUAUCGGUUUGAUUAUCAACUUGCUCCUAACUCUUAUCUCAUUUCUAAGUCUCACACAUAGCAUCAACUGCUCAACAACUAGCAUAAAAAUAGAUCACGCAUUUUUAGAGGCCCAUAAUCAAAUUUAAUUGUUAUUACCAUGUUUACGGUAAAGAGUUUGGUGACUACCGUGGGGCUAAAAAUAAUAGAGAUUAUUUUCUUGCUGGUUUUACUAACAAUCUUGAGGACCACUAAGAAAACGAUGUGGGUUUUCCAAGUGUUGGUCUGCCACCACGAAACCCGGGGAAUGCACCAGAACCAAUCCCUAUGGAUGCGGUCUCGCGCGACGCCCAACACAUCGACAUAAGCUCCUACACUGACAUGAGCGUUCACUUAGGAGAUCAACAAGAAGCUCAAAAAACCCCAACUAGGGAAGAACGAGUGGUAAGCCUUCAUGUUAUUUUUGAAAUGUUGCAGGCACAACAACUGGAUAUUGCUCAGCUACAUAGUCAGAAAACUCCUAGCAGUAGCACCGAGGACAGCUCCCCCGACCGAACAGGGUCGAUAGCCGAUCCUGUCAUCAUAAAGAUGCUCGAGGACCUCACCACAAAGAUCGAAUCGGGCGAGAAAAUGAUAAAAGCCAACGAUAAGAUGGUCGAGACUUACAACUCCAGGGUCGACCAAAUUCCAGGGCGCGCCCGAUCUUGAAAGGUGUGGACUCAAAGAAGUUUGUACAGAAGCCCUUCCCACAUUAAGCAGCCCCGAAAUCCAUUCUAAAUAAGUUCAAAUGCUAGACCUCCAGAAAUAUAACGGUACCUUGGACCCCAAUGAGCACGUUAGCGCUUACACCUGUUUAGUUAAGGGCAACGACCUAAUGGACGACGAGAUCGAGUCCGUCCUAUUGAAAAAAUCCAGAGAAACUCAAAUGACAAUUUUUUAUAUCAAUUCUGAAGUAUCAAAUGGAGGGAAAAAAAGGUAUCAAAUGGACUUAAAAGUUACACAGAUUGCCCUUUAACCUCAAAAGAAUCCCAUCCUAGCCCCACACUUGAUGAGCACCUCUAGCCAACCCCAAGAUAUUGCUGGAUUAUUUUUCACUAUAUUUUAGAAAUAUCCAGCGGUGUUGUCACUGACAACCAGAAGAAGUAAAUUGCACCCAUAUCUUAUACUAUUCUGAUUGCACCAUCAAUCAUUACUAUUGGCAAGGAAACCACAAGCAGAAAAGAAAAGAGCAGUAUAAGCUCAGAUAACUACUACAAAAUGAUGAACUCGGAAGAUAGAGCUGGCAGUUUAAUUUUUUCAACGUCUACCUUGAAUGUGUAUAGGAAUGAUAUGGACCUCAGUGGAGUGGAUUGAUAAAGAUAAUUCAUAUAGUAGACUUAACAUAUCUAAGCAUUAAACAUAGCCGAACAAGUUGUAUCUUGAAUGACUGAUAGCAUCAUUAACCAAAAAAAAGUAGAAGAGGUUUUAACCAUAAGUACACAGCAACAAGGGGUUUAGCUAUGGAAGCAUAAUUGGAGGUUGAAGGUUCCCUUAAACUAAUUGAGUUUUGGUCAGACAGGCUGUUCCGACAUGAGAGCUUAAUGAAGAGGGGAAUAUAAUGCCCCUGUGCUCCAAAUGUUUUCUGUGUGGAAAGGCCAUCGAAACAAACAGUCAUCUGUUUCUCCAUUGUCAGGUGACCAAUAGAUUGUGGAAACUAUUCAUGAGUAUGAAAAGCUUAAGCUGGGUAAUGCCUAGUGAGACUAUGGACUUGCUUUCUAAUUGGGACAAUUUAGCUGAACAAUAAAAGAGAAAGCCGACCUUUCCAUUAAGUAGCAAUCACAACAAAGUGUUAUAAUAACAGUGAAUGAAACUCUCUCUUACAGCCACCAUAACAAUACUAUUUAUAGUUGGCGAAUUACUGAGGCUCUAAGUUUAACAAGAUAAAACAUCCGAAAAUUAAGGUCGCAGAGGCAAUUUAAUAACAACAACAACAACAACAACAAUAAUAAUAGCAAACACACAAACAAAAAGAAUCUGAAUCAGUAAAUAAUAAAGUGCAAGUAAAAUCAGAGUAAGACUUCAUGUUAGAAAGAGAAAGUUUUGAGAAGAAGAGUACAAGAUCGAGAUUUUGGGAAAUCAAAUUUAAUACACGGGAGAGGACGAAUCUGUGUGAAAUAUAUUAAAAAUAAUAACAGAGAAAUUUCAUAAUUUUUACCUACUUUGUGAAAUCGUGAACUUGGACGGAUUCUCCAAAGAAAAAUCUAUCCCGAUCUUCGCAAUUUUUCUUCAAAAUCUGUUUUUGAGAGUGGAAACAGGGAAGGAAACAUUCUGAUUUGUGAUUAGGAGAAGAUUAGAAAAUUUGAU
rnacentral:lncRNA from 1 species